rnacentral:rRNA from 1 species
AGCGAACGCUGGCGGCAGGCUUAACACAUGCAAGUCGAGCGGGCGUAGCAAUACGUCAGCGGCAGACGGGUGAGUAACGCGUGGGAACAUACCUCUUGGUUCGGAACAACACAGGGAAACUUGUGCUAAUACCGGAUAAGCCCUUACGGGGAAAGAUUUAUCGCCGAGAGAUUGGCCCGCGUCUGAUUAGCUAGUUGGUGAGGUAACGGCUCACCAAGGCGACGAUCAGAGCUGGUCUGAGAGGAUGAUCAGCCACAUUGGGACUGAGACACGGCCCAAACUCCUACGGGAGGCAGCAGUGGGGAAUAUUGGACAAUGGGCGCAAGCCUGAUCCAGCCAUGCCGCGUGAGUGAUGAAGGCCCUAGGGUUGUAAAGCUCUUUUGUGCGGGAAGAUAAUGACGGUACCGCAAGAAUAAGCCCCGGCUAACUUCGUGCCAGCCGCCGCUGUAAU